UUCAUAUUUGGCGGGAAAGCACAAGAAGGAGAGUGAGAGUGAGAGAAAUGGCGAACAUGGUAAUCAGCGAGAUGGGGCUGCCCAAGUGGAUCGCCAACAUAUUCGCCGCUCGUAACAUCAUCACCGCCAAGGAAGCGUUGUCUUUAACUGAAUUUGAGUUGAUGGAGUUUUUGGAUGUGGGGUUGGCAGAAGUAACAUCUGCAGUAGCGCACAUCAGUGAAAUCGUGUGUCCACCAUAUCAAACAGCAUUAUCGCUGAUGGAGCAGCGGGUUCAAAAUGAGCACUUGGCCGGCCAUCUUCCCACGCGUCUGAAAGGAUUAGACGAAGCCUUAUGCGGUGGAAUACCAUUUGGUGUUUUGACAGAGUUGGUUGGUCCAGCAGGAAUUGGCAAAACACAAUUUUGCUUAAAGCUCUCUUUAUUGGCUUCUCUACCUGCAAGUUAUGGAGGCUUAGAUGGUCGUGUAAUAUAUAUUGAUGUAGAAUCAAAAUUUAGCUCAAGAAGGAUGAUAGAAAUUGGAAUGAAAAGUUUCCCGGAAAUAUUUCUCAAGAAAGGGAUGGCGCAGGAGAUGGGUGGUAGAAUCCUUGUUUUGCAUCCAACAUCACUUUCUGAGUUCACAGAGAGUCUGCAACAAAUCAAGGUUUCACUCCUCCAACAUCAAGUGAAGUUGCUAGUCAUUGAUAGCAUGGCUGCUCUUGUUUCAGGGGAAUAUGAGCAGGGGGCGCCCAGGCAACAUGCAUUGGGUUGGCAUGUUUCUUUCAUUAAGUCACUUGCUGAAUUUUCACGAAUUCCUAUUGUGGUGACAAAUCAAGUGAGAUCUCAAAGCCGUGAUGACGCAUGCCAGUAUUCUUUUCAAGUGCAAAGGUGGGAUGAUACCAAAGAGGAUCGCACGAGAUAUGAUUCUCAUCUUGUUGCUGCUUUGGGAGUUCACUGGGCUCAUGCUGUGACAAUUCGACUUGUGCUUGAAUCUAAAUCAGGUCAGAGGUUUAUCAAGGUGGCAAAAUCUCCAAUAUCACCACCUCUGGCUUUCCCUUUUAACAUAACUUCAUCAGGGAUGUCAUUGCUAAGUGAUGGUGGAUUUGAACUGACAGGGCCAGAUAUAAACACAAUUCACUGUCAAGGCCACAACGACAUCAUCAAUUUCGUCGGGGAAAGCUUGCAGUGAUCAAUCAGGCUGAAAGCUCCCCUGGCGGCAUUAUAAUACAAUCGAAUACUCUGGAGAUAUCACAAUCACAAUACCAAUGGCUAUGCUGGCGAUCCUGUUGAUAUGGGCCGAAAGUUGGGAGAAGCCCACACCUGCCACCCAUGUCAGUUUAAGCCUGAGCAAAAGUUUGGUGUCGUUUGUUGAGUAAUCUUAGAAGGAACCGAGGAAAGGAUGCUUUUUAAAUGUGAACUCUGUUGCUUCCUGCUUUUCAUCUCCUAAAGAAGACAACAGAAGAAGUAGUCUACAACCUUCCAGUUGGGUUUCUUAAACAAGAAAAAAUACUUGGAGAUGCCGCCAAAGAUUUGGUUGGUUUUUAAGGUUUCUUUCCUUUUCUCUCUUUUUAGCUUUUGAGUAUCAUACCAUUUCUUUGGAUACAUGCAUUGGAUUACUCUCUCUC